rnacentral:rRNA from 1 species
GGACUACUGGGGUAUCUAAUCCUGUUUGAUCCCCGCACUUUCGUGCCUCAGCGUCAGUUACCCAUUAGCAAGCUGCCUCCGCUAUCGGUGUUCUUGACGAUAUCUAAGCAUUUCACCGCUACACCGUCAAUUCCGCCUGCCUCACCGGUACUCAAGCCCCGCAGUAUCAAUGGCACCUCGACAGUUGAGCUGCCGUAUUUCACCACUGACUUACAGGGCCGCCUACGCACCCUUUAAACCCAAUAAAUCCGGACAACGCUUGCCACCUACGUAUUACCGCGGCUGCUGGCAC